GAAGAAAUUAGAGCGGUGUUUGUUUGAGGAUUGAAGGGCUGGUAAUAGAAGUAGAAUUCUUAGCUUAAAACUCCAGAAAAGAGUUUUUGCAAGCCACAAAACACUUGGGGCUGAGUUUGUCCAUAUUUGGGAACAAUUCUAAAAGAUGAGCAUUUUAUUUUUCUUUUGGUAAAUUUUUGGUUCUUCUUUAAGUUGUAUUGUGUAUAAAUUAACCAAAAAAGAGAAAUGAAACUACUAAGAAACCUACCAAACUGACCAUGAGAAUUGCAGAGAAUCUUAAGUUGCUGGAAAAGUCAAAUUGAGAAGAUGAAAUCUUGCUAUAUUUACAGGGCAAGUGUUAGCAGAGUAUGGAUGGAAGAACCCAGAUGCUGAAUUUCAAGUUUCAUCAUGUACAAUCUACACAGAUUGUAUCACCUCUACUUGUGUAUAUCAAGCUAAAAAAUUUGUUCUGCAUUGUAAUUUAUCAAAAUCAAAGUUCAUAAUGGUUUGUUCGUUGAUGGUUUACAAAA